CUUUCAGCGAGACAAACAGUUUAUUAAGCAAUAAACCAUACAGGCCAAACUCUUAAGGAAUCUGAACAUUAGUGACACCCAUAGGGACAAGAGGGCGUGAGAAAGUCUCAGCUUUUAAAUGGGGUCCAGGGUGGAUCUUAUAUACACUCUGGGUGACCAUAGGAGGGGCUGGGAAAAGGCUCUUGGUGACUUAGGGAGAAUUCUGAUUGGAAUCUCUGAGAGAUUGACUAGACAAUGGGAAUAGGUAAUGAAGGGAACUGGAAGGAAGAAGUUUGAAAGGCAUCUGAAUAAGAUCAAAAGGACUUUAAUUUCUCAGGACCAGGCUGAAACAGAUAUCACUGCUCAACAAGAAUAAGAUGAAAAACCAUCAUUUUAAUGGGACUCAAACUUUUGCAGAAAGAGUGUGAUGAAAUAAUUACAGUUUAUAUACCAACAUCUGUUGCAAAGGAUGUGGAAAUCAAGGAAUUCUACAGCGAAUCUGAUGAGACUGUCCAAAUCAAGUAAAGACAUAUUUUAAACUUGGUAACUUCAAUGCAAAGGUGGGUAUGGAAAAGAAUGACAAAAAAUAUGGCUCAGGUCUAAGAAACACAAGUUGUCAAAGAUGCACAGGAGACUCAUGCACAUAGAAAUAAAAUAUCUUCUUUAAGAAGAGAGUCUGUAGGCAGUAGAUACAAUAAGAAUCAAAUAACAUCUCAGAAAACGGAGUGAGUGGUUACUCAGGUGGGAACAAUUUCUGAAUAAGCUGUCUGUACAAUUAGGCUGCUGAUCUGUUAUAUAAAAUAAUUUUUUAAAAAAGGAACAAAAUUAGAAAAAUAAACAUGAGAAGACAUGGUGGUUAUUUGAGGGGCUAUCAACACCAACUAUCAACUUUUUUCUAAGGAAGUAAUCAAUGUAAAUCAACAGCCACAAUGAGGAAGCCAAAAAAGCCUAGAAACCAUAGCAGCCAGAAAGAAACAAAACAAACCACUUGAUCUUCCUAAGUGGAGAGAUAAAGCAAUCAUGCAAUACCAAUCUAUGAAGAUUUAAAGGUACAGAUAUGGCAUCAGAGAAAGAGUCACUGUAUUUUCCCUUCCUUGACAAGAGUAAUGCAAUUUUAGAAUAAACCUCCAUUUCAAUGUUAAACAAGCUAACUCCUGCCCCUCUUCUGGUUCUUAUAUAAGGUUGACCAAAAGGAGUCCACACUAUCUUGCAUUCUCAGGCCAACAUCAGACUAGCAGAUUAGAUAUUCUCUGUAUCCCUUACCUUCCCCUGAAAUACAACAAGUUGCUCCCAAGGCCACCAACAUAAUUAUGUGUUUUCUGUAUACUACAAGUAUCUGUGGGAAACUAUUUAAACUUCUCUGUGUGUCAACUGUUACUCCUCCUUGCAAUGAUUUGUGACAAUAUAUGAAAUAAAGCCUUUUACUGACUUGUAUUCUAAACUGCAAUAAAAUUGACACAACAAAAGUUAUCCAAAAAACAAAGGAGAGGCACAUGGUGGAUGUAAAUAGACUAUGUGGCAUAAAAGUACUAUAUGACUAGCUAAGGAAGUAGGAUAGUUAUCUAUCAAGAGCAAGGAGUAAAAGGACAACUCAUUUACUCCACUGGCAUACACACAAUGUCAAGAAAGCUUGCUUGUAUUUGUAUCCCCAGACAAAAAGAUUUAGGGGGAUGCCUAGUCAAGAGUAGCACAGGAAGGGGCAGCUAGGUGGCACAGUGGAUG